UACAGGUGCCGCAAGGCCUAACAGAGAAGCCGGUGUAAAACCGGCGCGGUCCCGCCGCUGUAUGGGGGAGCGAACUUUCAGAACCACUGGGCAUCAGCCUGGGAAGGGAAAGGAAGCAAAGAACCCGAGCCAGAAGAACUGCCUGUAUAUU
rnacentral:ncRNA from 1 species